rnacentral:rRNA from 1 species
UACGUAGGGUGCGAGCGUUGUCCGGAAUUAUUGGGCGUAAAGAGCUCGUAGGCGGUCUGUCGCGUCGGAUGUGAAAAUCCAGGGCUCAACCCUGGACCUGCAUUCGAUACGGGCAGACUAGAGUUCGGCAGGGGAGACUGGAAUUCCUGGUGUAGCGGUGAAAUGCGCAGAUAUCAGGAGGAACACCGGUGGCGAAGGCGGCUCACUGGUCCGGUACUGACGCUGAGGUGCGAAAGCGUGGGGAGCAAACAGG